CCCUUAGAUGUUCUGGGCCGCACGCGUGCUACACUGAGUGGAUCAGCGGGUCAGGUUGCGCGAAAGCGUUUCCUAAUCUUUAAAUCCGCUCGUGAUGGGGAUUGACGGUUGCAAUUUUCUGUCAUGAACGAGGAAUACCUUGUAAGCGCGGGUCAUCAUCCCGCGCUGAAUACGUCCCUGCCCUUUGUACACACCGCCCGUCGCUGCUACCGAUUGAGUGGUCCGGUGAAUUAUUCGGACCGGUGGACUGUGGGGAAACCCGCGGCCUGCUGGGAAGUCUUGUGAACCUUAUCACUUAGAGGAAGCAGAAGUCGUAACA
rnacentral:rRNA from 1 species